rnacentral:rRNA from 1 species
GGUCUGAUGCACCUGGCCCGCGGCUUUUAGCUUGUGAGUGCCGGGAUGCGUCUGCCAUCCUUGUUAAGUACACUACUACCCUUCACUGGGCCGGUAGAUGUUAUUUAACAUCAUUUACUUUGAGAAAAUUAGAGUGUUUAAAGCAGGCUGUUUAUUGCUAUGAAUACAUUAGCAUGGAAUAAUAAUUUAGGACUUUGGUUCUAUUUUGUUGGUUCUUAGAACUGAAGUA